rnacentral:tRNA from 1 species
GAGGGAUUCGAACCCUCGGUAAWCAAAAGCUU